rnacentral:rRNA from 1 species
AUUGAACGCUGGCGGCAGGCCUAACACAUGCAAGUCGAGCGGAUGAAGGGAGCUUGCUCCUGGAUUCAGCGGCGGACGGGUGAGUAAUGCCUAGGAAUCUGCCUGGUAGUGGGGGAUAACGUCCGGAAACGGGCGCUAAUACCGCAUACGUCCUGAGGGAGAAAGGGGGGGAUCUUCGGACCUCACGCUAUCAGAUGAGCCUAGGUCGGAUUAGCUAGUUGGUGGGGUAAAGGCCUACCAAGGCGACGAUCCGUAACUGGUCUGAGAGGAUGAUCAGUCACACUGGAACUGAGACACGGUCCAGACUCCUACGGGAGGCAGCAGUGGGGAAUAUUGGACAAUGGGCGAAAGCCUGAUCCAGCCAUGCCGCGUGUGUGAAGAAGGUCUUCGGAUUGUAAAGCCCUUUAAGUUGGGAGGAAGGGCAGUAAGUUAAUACCUUGCUGUUUUGACGUUACCAACAGAAUAAGCACCGGCUAACUUCGUG